GUGCCAGCAGCCGCGGUAAUACAGAGAGUGCGAACGUUGUUCGGAAUCACUGGGCAUAAAGCGCACGUAGGCUGUGCCGUAAGUGCGGGGUGAAAUCCCACGGCUUACCCGUGGAACGGCCCUGCAGACUGCGGUGCUAGAGGAUGGUAGGGGAGAGCGGAACUCCUGGUGGAGCGGUGAAAUGCGUAGAGAUCAGGAGGAACACCGGUGGCGAAGGCGGCUCUCUGGUCCAUUUCUGACGCUGAGGUGCGAAAGCUAGGGGAGCAAACGGGAUUAGAUACCCUGGUAGUCC
rnacentral:rRNA from 1 species